AAAGCACAAGGUUAAUAAUUUCCUUCAAACUGAAACGUGUAAAACAAAAAGAGCUUUGUUUGACAGCAGGUUCUAAUCACAUCGUGUAAAAAGAACUAAUUAUAAUCGAAAAACUGAACCAAAGGAAAUUUGCCUUCAAUUCAGAUCAGGUCAUUGAAAGUGAGAUAAAGAUAAUGUGACGGGCUGUUUGAUGUCCCAUUUGAGUGAAAGUGGGACAAUCUGCUCGUCCUACUUGGUUUCCUCUCUUGUAUUAUCUCUGGACAGCUGCACUGAAUCCUAAAACAGAACGUAGAACUGUACACGAUGGUGUGUGUGUGCGUGUGUGUGUGUGGGCCCGCAGGUAACAAACCACGUGACGAGGAGCGGCGGCGGCGAGGUGCUGCCGGGCCUCGGUGCGUCGUGGAGUCACAUCCCCAGAACCAGAGUUCUGCUGGAGCGGCUGGAGGAGGCCGGGGCUGCCGGUCGCUCCAGUCUGCGCUCAGCAACACUGAUCAAGUCCUCCAGACAGCCGUGUCUCGUCAGAGAGCAGUUUGACUUGAAGUGGUGGAGUCGCUCCAAAGAAGGAACCUCCGGAAAAAGAAAACGGGACGAGACCGAUUCCUGACGAGAGCCAAUUAAAAAAUCCUCUGACAAACAAAAAAAAAAAAACCCAUCAAAGGGAGGUACGACGCGCCUCUUGCGGAUACACUCCCAGAUCCAGCUGGGGGAGACUCUCUGGGCCUGGCUGUUCUCCUCGGGCUCGGCCAGAGUGUGCGUGGCGGAGGAGGUGUCGUAGUCCUGCACGAUGUCCCCGUCGUACGCCACGAAGUAGCGCCUGAGUUUGUCGAAGUCCUGCACGGAGACGGGCAGGAAGAGCUUCACGCCGCUGAAGAUGUCCAGCAGCGUC